CCACGGGGGGCUGCAGUGGGGAAUAUUGGACAAUGGGCGAAAGCCUGAUCCAGCCAUGCCGCGUGUGUGAAGAAGGCCUUCGGGUUGUAAAGCACUUUCAGUGGGGAAGAAAGCCUUGGGGCUAAUACCCUCGAGGAAGGACAUCACCCACAGAAGAAGCACCGGCUAACUCCGUGCCAGCAGCCGCGGUAAUACGGAGGGUGCGAGCGUUAAUCGGAAUUACUGGGCGUAAAGCGCGCGUAGGCGGUCUGAUAAGCCGGUUGUGAAAGCCCCGGGCUCAACCUGGGAACGGCAUCCGGAACUGUCAGGCUAGAGUGCAGGAGAGGAAGGUAGAAUUCCCGGUGUAGCGGUGAAAUGCGUAGAGAUCGGGAGGAAUACCAGUGGCGAAGGCGGCCUUCUGGACUGACACUGACGCUGAGGUGCGAAAGCGUGGGUAGCAAACAGGAUUAGAUACCCGAGUAGUC
rnacentral:rRNA from 1 species